UUUUCCAGUAUCAAAAUACGGACUAUCUGGUACACGCCAUGUAUUAUUGGAAGGUGCAUCUUUUCCACCUGAAAGAAGGUCAUAAAUAGUUCUAACUCUUGGUCAUAUGACUGCAUGGCUGUGUAUGCUGCGGAGUAAAGGAAUCUAUAGAAGAUAAUAUGCCUCUGCUGUUAAGAGAUCAAGACAUGGGUACUCUUGGAUUAAACACUCCUGGAGAACCAGUUGAUGUCGUAAUUCAAGGAAAAUGUAGA